rnacentral:rRNA from 1 species
GAGUUCUAUAACUCCCAAACCCAUGUGAACAUACCUAACGUUGCCUCGGCAGGUCGCACCUACCUUGUAGCACCCUACCCUGUAGGGCCUACCCGGGAGGUGCGGGUAAGCCUGCCGGCGGCCCACCAAACUCUGUUUGAUAUUGAAUUCUGAACCUAUAACUAAAUAAGUUAAAACUUUCAACAACGGAUCUCUUGGUUCUGGCAUCGAUGAAGAACGCAGCGAAAUGCGAUAAGUAAUGUGAAUUGCAGAAUUCAGUGAAUCAUCGAAUCUUUGAACGCAUAUUGCGCCCAUUAGUAUUCUAGUGGGCAGGACCGUUCGAGCGUCAUUUCAACCCUUAAGCCUUCGUUGCUUAGUGUUGGGAGCCUACGGCAACGUAGCUCCUCAAAGUUAGUGGCGGAGUUGGUUCACACUCUAGACGUAGUAAUUUUUUAUCUCGCCUAUUAGUUGGACUAAUCCCCUGCCGUAAAACCCCCAAUUUAUCAAGGUUGACCUCGAAUCGGUUCAGACAAACUCGCUAAAUUGAAGCAUCUUAGUCAGCGAAGGAAAAGAAACCAACAGGGAUUGCCCUAGUAACGGCGAGUGAAGCGGCAACAGCUCAAAUUUGAAAUCU